CCUACGGGAGGCAGCAGUAGGGAAUAUUGGUCAAUGGAGGCAACUCUGAACCAGCCAUGCCGCGUGUAGGAAGAAGGCGUUCUGCGUUGUAAACUACUUUUGAUUGGGAACAAAUGACUCUUGCGAGAGUAGCUGAGUGUACCAAUAGAAUAAGCCACGGCUAACUACGUGCCAGCAGCCGCGGUAAU
rnacentral:rRNA from 1 species